rnacentral:rRNA from 1 species
GACAGAGGUGGCAAGCGUUGUUCGGAAUUACUGGGCUUAAAGGGCGCGUAGGCGGUGGGGUAAGUCUGAGGUGGAAUGCCACAGCCCAACUGUGGAACUGCCUUGGAAACUGCUUCACUUGAGUUAGACAGGGGAAGGCGGAAUUCCUGGUGUAGCGGUGAAAUGCGUAGAUAUCAGGAGGAAGGCCAGUGGUGAAGACGGCCUUCUGGGUCUUAACUGACGCUGAGGCGCGAAAGCGUGGGGAGCAAAC